AGUCGCCGCGGUAAUACAGAGGGUGCGAGCGUUAAUCGGAUUUACUGGGCGUAAAGCGUGCGUAGGCGGCUUCUUAAGUCGGAUGUGAAAUCCCUGAGCUUAACUUAGGAAUUGCAUUCGAUACUGGGAAGCUAGAGUAUGGGAGAGGAUGGUAGAAUUCCAGGUGUAGCGGUGAAAUGCGUAGAGAUCUGGAGGAAUACCGAUGGCGAAGGCAGCCAUCUGGCCUAAUACUGACGCUGAGGUACGAAAGCAUGGGGAGCAAACAGGAUUAGAGACCCCCGUAGUUUCUGUCUCUUAUACA
rnacentral:rRNA from 1 species